rnacentral:rRNA from 1 species
GAUGAACGCUAGCGGCAGGCUUAAUACAUGCAAGUCGUGGGGCAGCAGGGUUGUAGCAAUACAAUCGCUGGCGACCGGCAAACGGGUGCGUAACACGUACGCAACCUUCCCGUUACUGUGGGAUAGCCCAGGGAAACUUGGAUUAAUACCACAUAUUAUAUUGAUGAGGCAUCUCAUUGAUAUCAAAGCUUCGGCGGUAACGGAUGGGCGUGCGGUUGAUUAGGUAGUUGGCGGGGUAACGGCCCACCAAGCCUACGAUCAAUAGCUGAUGUGAGAGCAUGAUCAGCCACACGGGCACUGAGACACGGGCCCGACUCCUACGGGAGGCAG